AAAUUGAAGAGUUUGAUCAUGGCUCAGAUUGAACGCUGGCGGCAGGCCUAACACAUGCAAGUCGAACGGUAACAGGAAGCAGCUUGCUGCUUUGCUGACGAGUGGCGGACGGGUGAGUAAUGUCUGGGAAACUGCCUGAUGGAGGGGGAUAACUACUGGAAACGGUGGCUAAUACCGCAUAACGUCGCAAGACCAAAGAGGGGGACCUUCGGGCCUCUUGCCAUCAGAUGUGCCCAGAUGGGAUUAGCUAGUUGGUGAGGUAACGGCUCACCAAGGCGACGAUCCCUAGCUGGUCUGAGAGGAUGACCAGCCACACUGGAACUGAGACACGGUCCAGACUCCUACGGGAGGCAGCAGUGGGGAAUAUUGCACAAUGGGCGCAAGCCUGAUGCAGCCAUGCCGCGUGUAUGAAGAAG
rnacentral:rRNA from 1 species